rnacentral:rRNA from 1 species
CCUACGGGAGGCAGCAGUGGGGAAUAUUGCACAAUGGAGGAAACUCUGAUGCAGCAACGCCGCGUGGAGGAUGACACAUUUCGGUGCGUAAACUCCUUUUAUGUGAGAAGAUAAUGACGGUAUCACAUGAAUAAGCACCGGCUAACUCCGUGCCAGCAGCCGCGGUAAUACGGAGGGUGCAAGCGUUACUCGGAAUCACUGGGCGUAAAGCGCGCGCAGGCGGCCUUUCAAGUUGGAUGUGAAAUCCUAUGGCUCAACCAUAGAACUGCAUCCAAAACUGUUAGGCUAGAGUCUGGGAGGGGAAGAUGGAAUUAGUUGUGUAGGGGUAAAAUCCGUAGAGAUAACUAGGAAUACCAAAAGCGAAGGCGAUCUUCUGGAACAGUACUGACGCUGAGGCGCGAAAGCGUGGGGAGCAAACAGGAUUAGAUACCCCGGUAGUC